GAUGAAGAACGUAGCGAAAUGCGAUAAGUAAUGCGAAUUGCAGAAUUUCCGUGAGUCAUCGAAUCUUUGAACGCACAUUGCGCCCGCCAGUAUUCUGGCGGGCAUGCCUGUUCGAGCGUCAUUUCAACCCUCAAGACCCCUUCGGGGGACUUGGUGUUGGGGACCGGCACAGGGGGCCUGCCUGCUUGUCUCGCAGCGCCCCUCGCCGCCCCCGAAAUGAAUUGGCGGCCUCGUCGCGGCCUCCCCUGCGUAGUAGCACAACCUCGCAACGGGAAACGUGACGGCGGCCACUGCCGUAAAACAACCCCAAUUUUAUUAGAGUUGACCUCGAAUCAGGUAGGAAUACCCGCUGAACUUAAGCAUAUCAAUAAGCGGAGGA
rnacentral:misc_RNA from 1 species